CAUAUUUGGAAAAAAAGAAAUGUAACUGAAGACAACAUUUUACUUGACAAGUCUCACCUUCUACCACUGCAGUGACACGACAACCUGCAGUGAAGGCCAGGAAAGCCGCUGCUGCCUGGCAGGUAUAUAUGGCGGCGCCAGGCAAGGGAGGCAAGUCACUUUGGCGACUCAGUCAGCAGUGAGCACCAUGAGAGUCUUCGCAGUUGCCCUCGGCUUCAGCGUCUUGCUGGCCUCCUGCAGCGCCGGCAUUAUCUACGGCGGCCAUGGCGGUGGCGGGCAUGGUGGAGUCACCACCAGGGUGGUUGUGUCUGGCGGCCACGGUGGCGGUGGCGGCGGAUUCGGUGGUGGAUUCGGCGGCGGCUACGGUGGUGGCGGAUUUGGUGGUGGAUUUGGUGGUGGAUUCGGCGGCGGCUACGGCGGCGGCGGUGCUGGUGGCGGGCACAUUGGUGGAAUCACGAGGGUGGUUCAUGUCUCCUCUGGACGCUACGGCGGCGGCGGCGGUAUUGGUGGCGGCGGCAUUGGCGGCGGCUUCAUCGGCGGCGGCGGCGGCGGCGGCGGCUAUUACGGCAAAUAAGGUUCCCAGACUGUUUCAUCGACAACACACUUGUGUCUUAAACGACCUCGACCACCUGUACAUAACACACUGCUGCUCCUCCUCCUCACACAGGCGCGUUGCCCCGGCACCACCAGAGCGCCACGCACACAAGUGGUAGUGGAGGUCAGGCAUGCAUCCAAAACAAACGCCUGAGAAACAACUCUGUAGGUAAACACACAAUGAAAUGAUUGCAGCAUA